UUAGGUUUUUGGAUCGUAAACCCCUUUUGUCAAGGAAGAAGCUCUGACGGUACUUGACGAAUAAGCCUCGGCUAACUCCGUGCCAGCAGCCGCGGCAAUACGGAGGAGGCAAGCGUUAUCCGGAAUGAUUGGGCGUAAAGCGUCUGUAGGUGGCCAGCUAAGUCUGCUGUUAAAGAUCACAGCUCAACUGUGGGAAGGCAGUGGAAACUGGCAAGCUAGAGGUUGGUAGGGGUAAAGGGAAUUCCCGGUGUAGCGGUGAAAUGCGUAGAUAUCGGGAAGAACACCGGUGGCGAAAGCGCUUUACUGGGCCAGACCUGACACUGAAGGACGAAAGCUAGGGGAGCGAAAGGGAUUAGAUACCCCUGUAGUC
rnacentral:rRNA from 1 species